GCGGACCUACGGGCGCAGCAGUGGGGGAUAUUGCACAAUGGGGGGAACCCUGAUGCAGCGACGCCGCGUGGGUGAAGGAGCGUUUCGGCGCGUAAAGCCCUAUCGGCAGGGAAGAAGAUGACGGUACCUGACCAAGAAGCCCCGGCUAACUACGUGCCAGCAGCCGCGGUAAUACGUAGGUGGCGAGCGUUAUCCGGAAUGAUUGGGCGUAAAGGGUGCGUAGGCGGCCUGCUAAGUCUGGAGUGAAAGGUACCGGCUCAACCGGUACAGGCUCUGGAAACUGGCGGG
rnacentral:rRNA from 1 species